AGGUUCGAUUAGAAAAGGAUGACAGGUGCUUCAUAUUGGAGUUACCAACGUGUGUGCUUUCUGAAAUCCUAAAUGAAGUGGUACUACAGGAAGGAGAUAAGACAUACUUUAGAUUGGCUCUUAUGUGUACCACCUUCAGGGACACUGUGUCCACUGACUCCUUCAGGAGACGGGCACAUUUUCAGUGGCUUGACAGUGUCGCUACAUGGAGCAGGUUUUCUGAGUCCUACAGAAAAUAAUUCUACACCAUGUACAGCGUGGACACCUGUCGUGAAUGUGGAAUGCUUUUCAAAAACUGCACACCUGGAUAUGCUGGAACAGGACAAAGGGGUGUACUUGAAGCAGUUUACUCCGAAGACCCACAUCCAGGUUACUGCGAUCACUUUUGCCACCAAAUGCAAUAGUGAAAACGGACACGUAUACUACCUGUUGGCAGACAACCCUGAGCCAGCUGGGUGUUUUUCAAGCUGCAGGCCACCGUGACAAUUUGUGAGGAUUUAAUUUAGAAUUCUCCAGUGUUAUUACAGACUGUUAAUGAAUUGUUUAUGAUAAAAAAGAGAUGUCAUAUUCAGCCUAUGUUUAAACAACAAAAUUUUAAAACUAACAUCUAUUGAGAGUCUACUUUAUGCUUUUUUGGUUUUAAUAACGUCCUGUUCAAUGUGUAAUAAAAUUCAAAUCCUCUGAA